rnacentral:rRNA from 1 species
UACGUAGGCAGCGAGCGUUGUUCGGAAUUACUGGGCGUAAAGAGUGUGUAGGCGUGUUCCAAGUUCGGUGUGAAAUCUCCCGGCUUAACUGGGAGGGUGCGCCGAAACUGGAAUGCUCGAGCGUGGAGAGGAAAGACGGAAGUUCCUGGUGUAGCGGUGAAUGCGUAGAUAUACAGGAGGAACACCAGCGGUGUAGACGGCUUUCUGGACCAUUGCUGACGCUGAGACACGAAAGCGUGGGUAGCAAACAGG